rnacentral:rRNA from 1 species
UACGUAGGGGGCAAGCGUUGUCCGGAUUUACUGGGCGUAAAGAGCGUGUAGGCGGCCACGCAGGUCCGUUGUGAAAACUGGAGGCUCAACCUUCAGUCGUCGACGGAAACCGUGUGGCUAGAGUCCGGAAGAGGAGAGUGGAAUUCCUGGUGUAGCGGUGAAAUGCGCAGAUAUCAGGAAGAACACCGGUGGCGAAGGCGGGUAGCUGGGCCGAUACUGACGCUGAGGAGCGAAAGCGUGGGGAGCGAACAGG